AUAAAAUAAAUUUGCCUCAAUGGAGGCAUUAACUGUUGCCUCAAUUGAGGCAAAAAGCUUCCGCAUUACACAAACCCGAGGUUCCCUCGGGUUUGCGUAAUGCAACCCCAUGCCUCAUUAUGCUGCAUUAUAAUGCAGUAUAAUGAGGUCUCAAAUUUUGCCAAACAUUUUCUUGGUAAUAAACUAAUGUGAAUAGUGAUAUAAUACCACACAAUCCCAUGCACCAAACACGCCCUUAAGGAUAUGGUAUGAAUUGUCAUUUAUAAUUUAACCACGUAGAUGACAACAUGUUGUAAUUAAUCCUUUGGAGUAAAAGUUAUAUCACCAAAAACAAUGGUAUCUUCAAUUAGAGCCCCUCAAGGAUGUAAAAUAUCAUUUACAAUUAAUGACAAAGACAACAUGCCAAAAUCAGGGGCGUUUCCAGGACUUAUUAUUACCCCGGGCUAAAU
rnacentral:lncRNA from 1 species